UACGUAGGGGGCAAGCGUUGUCCGGAUUUAUUGGGCGUAAAGAGCGUGUAGGCGGCUUUACAGGUCCGUUGUGAAAACUCGAGGCUCAACCUCGAGACGCCGGUGGAAACCGUAAAGCUAGAGUCCGGAAGAGGAGAGUGGAAUUCCUGGUGUAGCGGUGAAAUGCGCAGAUAUCAGGAGGAACACCCGUGGCGAAAGCGGCUCUCUGGGACGGUACUGACGCUGAGACGCGAAAGCGUGGGGAGCGAACAGG
rnacentral:rRNA from 1 species